CUGGCUGCCGUCAUCGGGCGGCGCAAGAUCGAGAGUGGAGAGCCCUGUUUCAUGGUGGAGAAGGCAAUGGUUAAAUCAGCUGAUAAACUUGCCUUCAUCACUGGAAAUGACAAAUACCUGACAGGUGUUGAGGGUUCCAUUCCAGUCAUAGUUAAAAGUAUGAUUUCAGGGAAAUUGGAUAGACAC